rnacentral:tRNA from 1 species
GGUGUCAGUGGCUCAGAGGCAGAGCACUUGCCUGGCAUGCGUGAGGCACUGGGUUCCAUCCUCAGCACCA